rnacentral:ncRNA from 1 species
ACACACCGCCCCGUCGCUCCUACCGAUUGGGUGUGCUGGUGAAGCGGUCGGAUUGGCGUUAGUGGGCGGUUUUCCGCCUCCUCUCGCUGAGAAGUUCGUUAAACCCUCCCACCUAGAAGAAAGGAGAAGUCGUAACAAGGUUUCCGUAGGUGACAUUUACUAUGCGGAUAAAAGCAUGCCUUAAAAGGGUACUGCUAGUACUUAUGUCUGUCACUAGACUGAGUGCGACACCGUCAAACUGCCUGAAAGUCCUGUUAAGCCUCUGAUACCGCACAGCAUGGGAAACUAUGUUGCUGCACCUCGGUGAAAGUCGAGGGCAUGGUAAAAACUCAGAAGGAUAGGGAUAAUGGGCAGCCAAGUGCUAAAGGAAUCAUUUCCCAUGCAUGCAGUUCACAGACUAAAUGGCGGUGGGUUGGAAUGCAAAAUCAAAAAUACACAGAGGAUUUUGCCUUUUGGCUUAAGAUAUAGUCGGUCCUCGCCGAAAGGCGGCCUGCAGGAGGAAUUUCCAGUCGGAAAGGAGAGCCUGCAGGAGUUUGGAUAAUACUCUGCAUUGCAAAAUGUGGUAGGGCUUGCAUCAAUUUGAUUCGAGCCUCUAAACUGGAAUAAACGAGGUGAACCUGCGGAAGGAUCAUUG